AGCAAUCAAGAAAUAUUUCCCCAAAGGCUGUUUAGAGGCUAUGAAAGCAGACUGGUUUGUGGGAAAUGGGAGCCAGUAUGGAAAGGAAGACGGGAAAGAGAAAGGAAACACAAACACACACACACACACACACACACACACACACACACCAAGGGACUUUCACAUGCCACCUUAGUCCCCUGCCAGUGAUUUUUAACCCAGGAUGGCCAGUCUUAAGAGAAGUCUGCCUCCUGCCACCUCUUGGCUUGAACACAGCAGGGUUAUGGCAUCCUAACCUGUAGGACAUUUGAUAGCAAGAUCCAAAAAGGACAAAGUCCGGUGCCCCAACUCAAACACCACAGGCCAGCAUCUUGUGACCUAACUUGAAUGGCAAUUAAGAGAGAAGAGGAAAGGAUUCCAGGAAAAAGAAUGUCUCCUCUCCUGCUGGGGCCAUUACAGCCCUACUCUGGGGGAGAAUACAAGCACACUGGGGAGGUUGCCUAACUGCUGGAGAAGAUGGUGUCUGGAGGCCUGAGGCCCAGUGCAUUGCACCUGUCCUGGCAUUAUCUCCCACACCCACCAGAGUCACCAGGCAGUUCCCGAUCCCAGUGAUGACAGAAACAAAAAUGGAGGCUACAGUACAACGGAGUUGCUUGGCAGCUAUGCACCAAGCAACGGCUUAAUUAGAAAUGGAACUAAGGAAGAAGACCCAGCAUGGGGCUGCAGUUGACAGCAAGCCGUUUACCAGGUGGCCAGAGCCUGCUGUUGUAACUGAGGAAAAAUGGCUGAAAGGAGGGCUAGCGAGGUGGCCCAGCCUGUGGAGGUGAUUGUGCCAAGCCGGAUGACCGAUUUCAAUCUUCAGAUCCCACAUUGGAAGGAAAGAACCAACUCCCAAGAGAUGUCCUCUGACACCAUGCAAGCUUUGUGGCAUGCUCCCGUCACACAGGAGACCCCAAAUAAAAGUUAUGGAAAAGGCAUGUGAAGAAAGAAGUGAUGUCCUUGUGUCACAUGUCACGUGUCAGGGCGUGGGGAGGGAGACUGCCAGGAUUUCUGUUUGUGUGAAGAGGCUGGAGAAUUUCUGGGUUGAAAGAGAGGGUCCGCCCUUGCCUGAGACACUUCUCUUACCUGCUAUUUCCCCAGGUCUCCCCCGCCCCAACCCUUUAUGUUGGCUCUGCCCCUCAGUUCUGGGGAUUAUAGGGAUGCAUCUAUAAUCUCUCAAAGGAAAAGACUGAGAAGGAACUAGUCCAGUAGAUAGAGUCACAGAAGGGGGGAGGGCUUGAGCAGCUGCCCUAGAAUGCCUCUAGAGAGCAUGCGCAGGAUUUCCUUGUUCUUCCAUAAACCCCGGAAAAUCUUCCUAAAAC